CCGUCGCUACUACCGAUUGAAUGGUUUAGCGAGGUCAUCGGAUUGGCGCCAUUGUAGCGGUUUCGGCUGCUCGACCGGUGCUGAGAAGACGACCGAACUUGAUCAUUUAGAGGAAGUAAAAGUCGUAACAAGGUUUCCGUAGGUGAACCUGCGGAAGGAUCAUU
rnacentral:rRNA from 1 species